rnacentral:rRNA from 1 species
AAUACGUUCCCGGGCCUUGUACACACCGCCCGUCACACCACGAAAGCCUGUCAAACCAGAAGUCAUGGGGUCUACUCAUGCCGAAGGUUGGGCCGGUAAUUGGGGUG